rfam:Staphylococcus sp. NAM3COL9 strain NA309 scaffold000011, whole genome shotgun sequence.
CUCUUAUCCUGAGUGGCGGAGGGACAUGGACCCAAUGAAGCCCAGCAACCUCUUCUUAAUACGAAGAAAGGUGCCAAACCGUUUGCAGACAUAUAUCGUCUGAACGAUAAGAG